rnacentral:rRNA from 1 species
AGAGUUUGAUCCUGGCUCAGGAUGAACGCUGGCGGCGUGCUUAACACAUGCAAGUCGAACGAAGCACUUUAUUUGAUUUCCUUCGGGACUGAUUAUUUUGUGACUGAGUGGCGGACGAGUGAGUAACGCGUGGGUAACCUGCCUUGUACAGGGGGAUAACAGUUGGAAACGGCUGCUAAUACCGCAUAAGCGCACAGCAUCGCAUGAUGCAGUGUGAAAAACUCCGGUGGUAUAAGAUGGACCCGCGUUGGAUUAGCUAGUUGGUGAGGUAACGGCCCACCAAGGCGACGAUCCAUAGCCGACCUGAGAGGGUGACCGGCCACAUUGGGACUGAGACACGGCCCAAACUCCUACGGGAGGCAGCAGUGGGGAAUAUUGCACAAUGGGCGAAAGCCUGAUGCAGCGACGCCGCGUGAGCGAAGAAGUAUUUCGGUAUGUAAAGCUCUAUCAGCAGGGAAGAUAAUGACGGUACCUGACUAAGAAGCACCGGCUAAAUACGUGCCAGCAGCCGCGGUAAUACGUAUGGUGCAAGCGUUAUCCGGAUUUACUGGGUGUAAAGGGAGCGCAGGCGGUGCGGCAAGUCUGAUGUGAAAGCCCGGGGCUCAACCCCGGUACUGCAUUGGAAACUGUCGUACUAGAGUGUCGGAGGGGUAAGCGGAAUUCCUAGUGUAGCGGUGAAAUGCGUAGAUAUUAGGAGGAACACCAGUGGCGAAGGCGGCUUACUGGACGAUAACUGACGCUGAGGCUCGAAAGCGUGGGGAGCAAACAGGAUUAGAUACCCUGGUAGUCCACGCCGUAAACGAU